GCUUACGGCCAUACCAGCCUGGGUACGCCCGAUCUCGUCUGAUCUCGGAAGCGAAGCAGGGUCGGGCCUGGUUAGUACUUGGAUGGGAGACCGCCUGGGAAUACCAUGUGCUGUAAGGA
rnacentral:rRNA from 1 species